UCCAACACUUUCCAAGUUUAUCUGCAAAGCCCUCCUCUUCAAACGUCUCUUUGCUUUAUAUUUGUGCUCUCUUUCUCCUCCCCCCUGAUCUAUUGCUAUUUUCUACUGGUUUUGUAGGAAUAAUGGGUUCUGAACAAAAAAAAACAUCGUUGCUUCGCAAAAUCAGAAGCUGAGAUGAAACUUAGGCGACAUGAAACGUACAAAGUAAUAUCUGCAGAAAAACGAAGAAGCAUUGUUACUACAACGACGAACAAAAAGACAAGAGUUAAAAAGGAGUAGUCUUUCUGAGAAAGUUGCCUUUCCUGGCGCUACUCCAGCUGCAACUGAGUUUCAGCAACAAAAUGUUCCUCUUAGGAGCUCUUCUUCUGUUUUAAAAAUAGGUUAGAAUACAUCCUUUGUUAUUUUAUUUUUUUAGAAAUGUCCCUUCACGCUUUUUGCAUGUGAGUAUAAUUGAAUGACGGUAAAUAUGUGUUGUGUUUCCCCUAUUAGCCAACGAGCGUCACGUUGAUGCUUUGGAAGUUACAUUUUACAAGCGAAAGAUUAUAAAUUAUCCCUUAUACUCAUUUGAAGUAGGGUCAACGUCACAUGCAUCUAAUGAAAGUAGUAGUAUGAGCUCAACAAUGGUUGGGAAAAAAUGUUUGCACCAAUCUUUUAUUAUGAUACUGUUGUAUAUUACUUAAUUGGUAAUUUUAUGCUAAUAAUACUUAAAUAUACAGGUUAUAACUCAAAAAAAAGAGUUAUACAUACGUAGGUCAGUUACAAUCUGAUUAUGUUCCCUUGAAGACUGUUCCUAACUGUAAAUUUUGUGGUACAAAAAAAUUUGAAUAUGAACCACCUGGAUUCUACUGUAACAAUGGUUCGAUCAAGUUAGUUUCACAUGAGAUGCCUGCUGAACUACAAAAUUUAUAUUUAGGGACUACUGAAGAAUGUAAAAAUUUUCGAACAUAUAUCAGAACAUACAAUAAUAUGUUUUCAUUUACAUCACUUGGUGUAAAUUAUGAUAAAGAAUUAGCAAAAAGAAAUUGUGGUAUUUAUAUAUUUAGAGUUCAUGGAAAGAUGUACCAUUUUAUAAAUGAUUUGCUGCCUCCGAGUGGAAUAGCAAAAAAUCUACAACUAUACUUCUAUGACAACGAUAACGAAUUAUCUAACAUAAUGGCUUGCUCUAAGAAAAUGCAUGAAUCAAUAGUCAAAAAACUAAUGAACAUACUGAGAAUUAAUCCAUACUCUAUUUUCUUAAAAUCCCUAAUAGAUGUUCCAAAUCUAUCGAACUACAAUAUUGCACUUAAAUCUGACUCAGGUUUGGAUCAACGUGUAUACAAUCUUCCUACUACAUCAGAAGUUGCAGGGAUAUGGGUUGAAAAAGAAACCACCGAAGUUAGUUCUGCACCUCAUAUUCGAAUCUACACUCAUAGCAAUAGAUCUCAAAUAGUGAACUACUAUUACGGAUGUUAUGAUCCGCUACAAUAUCCACUAUUGUUUCCAUAUGGUCAAAGUGGAUGGAACUGUGGCAUUAAAAAAAUUAUACAA